CGACCGCGGUGGUCCCCGGGCGCCCAGGUCUUGUGGGCACGGCUGUGGCUGGACUCCUUUGUGGUGGUUUGAGCGGGGCGUGUGGGGGUGUUAGCUGUGGCUUUUUAACUGGAAAGCGGAAAACAACACCUGCCGGUGUAAAAGUGACCUUAUCCGAGGGGGAGGAAGGUAUUAAGGCUGAAGUGUGUAAGAGAGGGAAUAAACGAGGAUUUCCCUCUAUGCCGUCACAUUAGGAGGUCUGUUUCCAUGUCGGAAAAUCUCCCAGAAAGUGGGUGUGCGAGGAUGCAGCCACUGGCCUACGCUUGGUGUGUGCCUUGCCUAGUUUCACUUGAUACUCUUCAGGAAUUAUGUAGAAAAGAAAAGCUCACAUGUAAAUCGAUUGGAAUCACCAAAAGGAAUCUAAACAAUUAUGAGGUGGAAUACUUGUGUGACUACAAGGUAGUAAAGCCACAGUGACUCAGGAAGUAGGAUGCCGCUACAUGAUGCUUGGAGCCACAUGGAAGGCCUGGGUUUGGAUUCUGGGUCAACUUGAAUACAUCAGGUGCACCUGUGAUCCUAACUGGUUAGGGG